GGAGCCUGAGAAACGGCUACCACAUCCAAGGAUGGCAGCAGGCGCGCAAAUUACCCAAUCCCGACACGGGGAGGUAGUGACAAUAAAUAACAAUACGGGGUUCUUUAGGAUCUCGUAAUUGGAAUGAGUACAAUUUAAAUCUCUUAACGAGGAACAAUUGGAGGGCAAGUCUGGUGCCAGCAGCCGCGGUAAUUCCAGCUCCAAUAGCGUAUAUUAAAGUUGUUGCAGUUAAAAAGCUCGUAGUUGAAUUUCGGGGUUAGUAGGUUGGUCAUGCCUCUGGUAUGUACUGGUCUCACUGAUUCCUCCUUCCUUAUGAACCGUAAUGCCAUUAAUUUGGUGUUGCGGGGAAUUUGGACUGUUACUUUGAAAAAAUUAGAGUGUUUAAAGCAAGCUAACGCUUGAAUACAUUAGCAUGGAAUAAUGAAAUAGGACGUUCGAUCUUAUUUUGUUGGUUUCUAGGAUUGACGUAAUGAUUAAUAGGGAUAGUUGGGGGCAUUAGUAUUCAAUUGUCAGAGGUGAAAUUCUUGGAUUUAUUGAAGACUAACUACUGCGAAAGCAUUUGCCAAGGAUGUUUUCAUUAAUCAAGAACGAAAGUUAGGGGAUCGAAGACGAUCAGAUACCGUCGUAGUCUUAACCAUAAACUAUGCCGACUAGGGAUCGGAUGAUGUUAAUUUUUUAAUGACUCAUUCGGCGCCUUACGGG
rnacentral:rRNA from 1 species